rnacentral:rRNA from 1 species
UGGGGAAUAUUGGACAAUGGGCGAAAGCCUGAUCCAGCCAUGCCGCGUGUGUGAAGAAGGUCUUCGGAUUGUAAAGCACUUUAAGUUGGGAGGAAGGGCAGUAAGCGAAUACCUUGCUGUUUUGACGGUACCGACAGAAUAAGCACCGGCUAACUCUGUGCCAGCAGCCGCGGUAAUACAGAGGGUGCAAGCGUUAAUCGGAAUUACUGGGCGUAAAGCGCGCGUAGGUGGUUCGUUAAGUUGAAUGUGAAAGCCCCGGGCUCAACCUGGGAACUGCAUCCAAAACUGGCGAGCUAGAGUAGGGCAGAGGGUGGUGGAAUUUCCUGUGUAGCGGUGAAAUGCGUAGAUAUAGGAAGGAACACCAGUGGUGAAGGCGACCACCUGGGCUCAUACUGACACUGAGGUGCGAAAGCGUGGGGAGCAAACAGG